rnacentral:rRNA from 1 species
CUACGGGUCGCUCCAGUGAGGAAUAUUGCACAAUGGGGGGAACCCUGAUGCAGCAACGCCGCGUGGAGGAUGACGCAUUUCGGUGUGUAAACUCCUUUUAUAUGUCAAGAAAAUGACGGUAGCAUAUGAAUAAGCACCGGCUAACUCCGUGCCAGCAGCCGCGGUAAUACGGAGGGUGCAAGCGUUACUCGGAAUCACUGGGCGUAAAGGACGCGUAGGCGGGCUUGUAAGUCAGGUGUGAAAUCCUACAGCUUAACUGUAGAACUGCACUUGAAACUACGAGCCUAGAGUAUGGGAGGGGGAGAUGGAAUUAGUGGUGUAGGGGUAAAAUCCGUAGAUAUCACUAGGAAUACCUAAAGCGAAGGCGAUCUCCUGGAACAUAACUGACGCUAAGGCGUGAAAGCGUGGGGAGCAAACAGGAUUAGAUACCCCCGUAGUC